AGGACUAACGCUGGCGGCGUGCCUAACACAUGCAAGUCGAACGGGGUAGCAAUACCCAGUGGCAGACGGGUGAGUAACACGUGGUCAACCUACCUCUAUGUGGGGGAUAACUAGCCGAAAGGUUAGCUAAUACCGCAUACGAUCGCUUUGGGGCAUCCUUAGGCGAUGAAAGGAGCAAUCCGCAUAGAGAGGGGACUGCGUCCCAUUAGUUAGUUGGUGGGGUAACGGCCUACCAAGACUCCGAUGGGUAGCUGGCUUGAGAGAGCGACCAGCCACACUGGAACUGAGACACGGUCCAGACUCCUAUGGGAGGCAGCAGUGAGGAAUUUUCCGCAAUGGGCGAAAGCCUGACGGAGCGACGCCGCGUGUGGGAAGAAGGCCUUCGGGUCGUAAACCACUGUCGAAGGGACGAUAAUGACGGUACCCUUGGAGGAAGCCCGGCUAACUACGUGCCAGCAGCCGC
rnacentral:rRNA from 1 species